GCCCAUUUUUAAUAAAUAUUAAUCUUAAAAUUAGAAUCCAAUGUACAUAACUAUCCUAUAAAUAAUUUCUUAGUAAUAUUUUUAAAAAAGGGAUGAAAAUAUUAUAUUUAAUAUAGCUAUACAUUACAAGAUAGAGAAUCACAAUCAUUUACAACAAGUGAGUUUUCAUUUUAUUCUGUACUUAUUACAAAUGAUUAAUUGUAUUGGUAAUUAUAUUUAUACACUUAUUAUAUAGCUAUUAAUAAAAAUAACCUCUGAUCUUAUAUGAAUAUAUAGUACAUUAAAAUGUAUAAAAUAAUAUCUAAUAAAAUAAUUAGGUAAAAACAAAAUUAUUAAAGUGGUUAAUACUCAUAAAUAAAGUAAACAAAUAUAUAAAUAAAAAAAAUGUAUGUAUCAAAAUAAAAUAAAUAAAUGCGCCUAGAGUAUUAUGAAAAGUGUAGUAUAUGACCUGUUUUGAAUUAAAAAUUCAUCAUCAAAUAUAUCACAGUCAAAAUGUAAACCACCACAAUAUGUAUUACAUCAUAUAAUACACUUAUCAUAAUACUCCAGGAGACAACACAUUGAUUAAUUUAUUUAUAUUGUUAUAUAUAUAAAUUUUUUAUUUAUAUAUUUAUUAACUUGAUUUGAAUAAUAUCUUUUACAUAAUAUGAUUAUUUUAAAAAUAAAUUAUAUGAUAAUAAUUCAUUGUUCUUAGUGAAUAAAUAACACAAAAUUGUAAAUAGAUACUAAUGAACUUCAAAAUUAUUACAAUACCAACACUUAAAUUACACCAUUUUAAAUAGUAAGAUAAUUGCUGGUUUCAGAAAGUUUAAAAAUACUUGGUCGACAAACUCUUUGAAUAUCUGUCUGAAAGCAAUCAGACUAAAGCUACGGCCCCACUGAGUGAUUUGGGAUUUUGCAAUAGCGUGAAGCAAUUUUAACAAUAUUAUGUAAUUCAUAUAUAGUGGCCCCACUGAGCAUACACGCGCGAUAAUCACUAAAAGAACAAAAUAGUUUGAUAUUUGGUGAUUAAUAGCUGUAAAAAUGUCUUCUGCAAAGGUUGUGUCAGAAAAAAUAGCUGCUAUUGUAUUUCUAAAGGAAACUAUUUGGAAUCCGAGGCAUCGGGACCAUAAAAAUAGGACCAAAAUCCACUUAUGCGACAGUACUCAAAACACUUGACUGGAUAUUAUUUUAGUUUACUGAAUAGUGUAUGAAAUUCUCCUUCAGAUAUCCUAGGUCUAUUUAAUUUAUGGACCCAUAAACAGUUCUCAACCAAAUUUAAUUUUACAUCAAUUAAAAGCAGCACUUUCAGCCAACAUUUUUCUGUUCUUGUUUCAUUCAUCAUGGUCAAUGAUCGAUGGAGCAAAUGAAAAAUAAUAUGAACAGGCGAGAUGUAAAAACGCAAAAUCGCUCUCAGUGGGGCAAGAGCUUAAAGUUAAAUUGCACACUUCAAUGAAAAUUUAAAAAAAUAAAAGAUAAUAAAUUUAAAUAAUAAUAGAAUGUAUUUCAUAUAAACUAUUAAAACUAAAUGAUAAUUUAAUAUAAAACCAUAUUAAAUAUAACUUACAUUCAAAAAAUAUAUAGGUACCUAAUAUUAUUCUAUUAUUCAAAGUGACUUAUUUUAUACUAGUUCAUUAUAAACUUGCUACAAGGAAUAAUUAUUAUAAAAUGUUCUUAAAUUUA
rnacentral:lncRNA from 1 species